CGUAGGGUGCAAGCGUUAAUCGGAAUUACUGGGCGUAAAAGCGUGCGCAGGUCGGUUUUGUAAGACCGAUGUGAAAUACCCGGGCGUCAACCUGGGAACUGCAUUGGUGACUGCAAGGCUUGAGUGUGUCAGAGGGAGGUGGAAUUCGCGUGUAAGCAGUGAAAUGCGUAGAUAUGCGGAGGAACACCGAUGGCGAAGGCAGCCUCCUGGGAUAACACUGACGCUCAUGCACGGAAAGCGUGGGAGCAAACAGGACUU
rnacentral:rRNA from 1 species